rnacentral:rRNA from 1 species
UACGUAGGGUGCGAGCGUUAAUCGGAAUUACUGGGCGUAAAGCGUGCGCAGGCGGUUCGUUAAGUUCGUUGUGAAAUCCCCGGGCUUAACCUGGGAACUGCAUUUGUGACUGCAUUGCUGGAGUGCGGCAGAGGGGGAUGGAAUUCCGCGUGUAGCAGUGAAAUGCGUAGAUAUGCGGAGGAACACCGAUGGCGAAGGCAAUCCCCUGGGCCUGCACUGACGCUCAUGCACGAAAGCGUGGGGAGCAAACAGG